AAACUUUUCAGUCACACAAAAGAUGAUGAUGGCUGUGGCGACGAUGGUCCAUAUGGAACCAAUGUACUUUCAAUUAACCUUCAAUUUCAGUCAUAAACCACAAAAAACAUAUUAACAACUCAAUGGACGAGUGUUCAUCUCCGUCCAUUCACACAAUCAUGGCAAUGGUCGCACAGGCUGGUGAAGCCUCAAAAGAUGAUGAUCACCGUUUUUUGUUGUUACAUUGACAUUUGGAAAUUGUAAAUAUCAAAAGUCAAAGAUUCAUAGACAUUGACAACGCAUUGUAUUCAUAGAGUGUGAGAUUUUAUUUGUGGUCGGCACCAUUUUAGAAUUAAAAAAAUUAGUUUUGAAACAA